AUGCAAGUCGAGCGGUAGCACAGAGAGCUUGCUCUCGGGUGACGAGCGGCGGACGGGUGAGUAAUGUCUGGGAAACUGCCUGAUGGAGGGGGAUAACUACUGGAAACGGUAGCUAAUACCGCAUAACGUCGCAAGACCAAAGUGGGGGACCUUCGGGCCUCAUGCCAUCAGAUGUGCCCAGAUGGGAUUAGCUGGUAGGUGGGGUAACGGCUCACCUAGGCGACGAUCCCUAGCUGGUCUGAGAGGAUGACCAGCCACACUGGAACUGAGACACGGUCCAGACUCCUACGGGAGGCAGCAGUGGGGAAUAUUGCACAAUGGGCGCAAGCCUGAUGCAGCCAUGCCGCGUGUGUGAAGAAGGCCUUCGGGUUGUAAAGCACUUUCAGCGGGGAGGAAGGCGGUGAGGUUAAUAACCUCAUCGAUUGACGUUACCCGCAGAAGAAGCACCGGCUAACUCCGUGCCAGCAGCCGCGGUAAUACGGAGGGUGCAAGCGUUAAUCGGAAUUACUGGGCGUAAAGCGCACGCAGGCGGUCUGUCAAGUCGGAUGUGAAAUCCCCGGGCUCAACCUGGGAACUGCAUUCGAAACUGGCAGGCUAGAGUCUUGUAGAGGGGGGUAGAAUUCCAGGUGUAGCGGUGAAAUGCGUAGAGAUCUGGAGGAAUACCGGUGGCGAAGGCGGCCCCCUGGACAAAGACUGACGCUCAGGUGCGAAAGCGUGGGGAGCAAACAGGAUUAGAUACCCUGGUAGUCCACGCUGUAAACGAUGUCGAUUUGGAGGUUGUGCCCUUGAGGCGUGGCUUCCGGAGCUAACGCGUUAAAUCGACCGCCUGGGGAGUACGGCCGCAAGGUUAAAACUCAAAUGAAUUGACGGGGGCCCGCACAAGCGGUGGAGCAUGUGGUUUAAUUCGAUGCAACGCGAAGAACCUUACCUGGUCUUGACAUCCACAGAACUUUCCAGAGAUGGAUUGGUGCCUUCGGGAACUGUGAGACAGGUGCUGCAUGGCUGUCGUCAGCUCGUGUUGUGAAAUGUUGGGUUAAGUCCCGCAACGAGCGCAACCCUUAUCCUUUGUUGCCAGCGGUCAGGCCGGGAACUCAAAGGAGACUGCCAGUGAUAAACUGGAGGAAGGUGGGGAUGACGUCAAGUCAUCAUGGCCCUUACGACCAGGGCUACACACGUGCUACAAUGGCAUAUACAAAGAGAAGCGACCUCGCGAGAGCAAGCGGACCUCAUAAAGUAUGUCGUAGUCCGGAUUGGAGUCUGCAACUCGACUCCAUGAAGUCGGAAUCGCUAGUAAUCGUAGAUCAGAAUGCUACGGUGAAUACGUUCCCGGGCCUUGUACACACCGCCCGUCACACCAUGGGAGUGGGUUGCAAAAGAAGUAGGUAGCUUAACCUUCGGGAGGGCGCUACCACUU
rnacentral:rRNA from 1 species